UCCCUGUUGGUCCAAUGGUUAGGACUCAGCACUUUCACUGCUGGGGCCCCAGGUUCAAUCCCUGGUCGGGGAA